rnacentral:tRNA from 1 species
GCGAGCGUGGCGAAAUUGGCAGACGCGCUGGAUUUAGGUUCCAGUGUCUUCGGACGUGGGGGUUCAAGUCCCCCCGCUCGCACC